rnacentral:rRNA from 1 species
GAUCAUGGCUCAGAUUGAACGCUGGCGGCAGGCCUAACACAUGCAAGUCGAACGGUAACAGGAAGCAGCUUGCUGCUUUGCUGACGAGUGGCGGACGGGUGAGUAAUGUCUGGGAAACUGCCUGAUGGAGGGGGAUAACUACUGGAAACGGUGGCUAAUACCGCAUAACGUCGCAAGACCAAAGAGGGGGACCUUCGGGCCUCUUGCCAUCAGAUGUGCCCAGAUGGGAUUAGCUUGUUGGUGAGGUAACGGCUCACCAAGGCGACGAUCCCUAGCUGGUCUGAGAGGAUGACCAGCCACACUGGAACUGAGACACGGUCCAGACUCCUACGGGAGGCAGCAGUGGGGAAUAUUGCACAAUGGGCGCAAGCCUGAUGCAGCCAUGCCGCGUGUAUGAAGAAGGCCUUCGGGUUGUAAAGUACUUUCAGCGGGGAGGAAGGUGUUGUGGUUAAUAACCGCAGCAAUUGACGUUACCCGCAGAAGAAGCACCGGCUAACUCCGUGCCAGCAGCCGCGGUAAUACGGAGGGUGCAAGCGUUAAUCGGAAUUACUGGGCGUAAAGCGCACGCAGGCGGUCUGUCAAGUCGGAUGUGAAAUCCCCGGGCUCAACCUGGGAACUGCAUUCGAAACUGGCAGGCUUGAGUCUUGUAGAGGGGGGUAGAAUUCCAGGUGUAGCGGUGAAAUGCGUAGAGAUCUGGAGGAAUACCGGUGGCGAAGGCGGCCCCCUGGACAAAGACUGACGCUCAGGUGCGAAAGCGUGGGGAGCAAACAGGAUUAGAUACCCUGGUAGUCCACGCCGUAAACGAUGUCUACUUGGAGGUUGUGCCCUUGAGGCGUGGCUUCCGGAGCUAACGCGUUAAGUAGACCGCCUGGGGAGUACGGCCGCAAGGUUAAAACUCAAAUGAAUUGACGGGGGCCCGCACAAGCGGUGGAGCAUGUGGUUUAAUUCGAUGCAACGCGAAGAACCUUACCUGGUCUUGACAUCCACAGAAGAAUCCAGAGAUGGAUUUGUGCCUUCGGGAACUGUGAGACAGGUGCUGCAUGGCUGUCGUCAGCUCGUGUUGUGAAAUGUUGGGUUAAGUCCCGCAACGAGCGCAACCCUUAUCCUUUGUUGCCAGCGGUUAGGCCGGGAACUCAAAGGAGACUGCCAGUGAUAAACUGGAGGAAGGUGGGGAUGACGUCAAGUCAUCAUGGCCCUUACGACCAGGGCUACACACGUGCUACAAUGGCGCAUACAAAGAGAAGCGACCUCGCGAGAGCAAGCGGACCUCAUAAAGUGCGUCGUAGUCCGGAUUGGAGUCUGCAACUCGACUCCAUGAAGUCGGAAUCGCUAGUAAUCGUGGAUCAGAAUGCCACGGUGAAUACGUUCCCGGGCCUUGUACACACCGCCCGUCACACCAUGGGAGUGGGUUGCAAAAGAAGUAGGUAGCUUAACCUUCGGGAGGGCGCUUACCACUUUGUGAUUCAUGACUGGGGUGAAGUCGUAACAAGGUAACCGUAGGGGAACCUGCGGUUGGAUCACCUCCUUACCUUAAAGAAGC